UUCACGUUUAUUGUUUAGCAAAGAAAACUUAAUAAAAUAAAUUAGAUCAUGCCCAACAAAAGUAUACGAAACAAACUUAUUCUUUUAAUGUUGAUGUGCAUGCUUAAUGACGUGAGUACCGGUUUAACAAAUGUAUUAGAGUCUACUUGGUCUAAUUGGAGUUUUUGGUCCAAUUGCACUGUCUCUUGUGGUUUUGGAACUAUGAGUCGAACUAGGGUGUGCUCAGGUCUUUUAUGUAAUGGAAACUCUAUCGAUAUAGUCAGCUGUUAUGGCAAUCAAACGUGUACAGGAAUGCAGUCAGGUUGGUCAAACUGGAGCAUUUGGUCAAGUUGUACAGUAUCUUGUGAUAAUGGAACUAUGACUAGAAUAAGACUAUGUCUUGAUUUAAGCAGUUCUUGUGUUGGAAACACUAUUGAAACAGCAAAUUGUUACUCAAAUGUAACUUGUUCAGGGUUACAGUUAGGUUGGUCAGAAUGGAGUUUAUGGUCUCUUUGUAAUGUUUCUUGUGGUAAUGGAACUGUGAGCAGAAUAAGAGAGUGUCUUGAUGUAGUGAACCCAUGCGUUGGAGACAGUAUUGAUGAAGCAAGUUGUUACAACAAUGAAACUUGUUUAGGGGUAGAGUUAGGUUGGUCAGAAUGGAGUUUUUGGUCCCUUUGUGAUGUCUCUUGUGGUAAUGGAACUAUGAGUAGAGUAAGGCUAUGUCUUGAUGUAAUGAAUCCAUGCAUUGGAAACAGUAUUGAAGUUACAAGUUGUUACAACAGCACAACAUGUUUAGGGCUACAGUUAGGCUGGUCAGAAUGGAGUUUUUGGUCUCUUUGUGAUGUCUCUUGUGGUAAUGGAACUAUGAGUAGAGGAAGAUUGUGUCUUGAUGUAAUGAAUCCAUGCAUUGGAAACAGUAUUGAAGUAGCAAGUUGUUACAUCAACAUAACAUGUUUAGGGCUGCAGUUAGGUUGGUCAGAAUGGAGUUUUUGGUCUCUUUGUGAUGUCUCCUGUGGCAAUGGAACUUUGAGUAGAGUAAGACUAUGCCUUGAUGUAAUGAAUUCAUGUGUUGGAAACAGUAUUGAAGUAGCAAGUUGUUACAACAACAUAACAUGUUCAGGGCUACAGUUAGGUUGGUCAGAAUGGAGUUUUUGGUCUUUUUGUAAUGUAUCUUGUGGUAAUGGAACUAUGAGUAGAGUAAGACUAUGUCUUGAUGUAAUGAAUCCAUGCAUCGGAAACAGUAUUGAAGUAGCAAGUUGUUACAACAACAUAACAUGUUUAGGGCUACAGUUAGGUUGGUCAGAAUGGAGUUUUUGGUCUCUUUGCGAUGUCUCUUGUGGUAAUGGAACCAUGAGUAGAGUAAGACUAUGUCUUGAUUUAAUAAAUCCAUGCAUGGGAAACAAUAUUGAAGUAGCAAGUUGUUACAACAACAUAACAUGUUUAGGGCUACAGUUAGGUUGGUCAGAAUGGAGUUUUUGGUCUCUUUGUGGUGUCUCUUGUGGUAAUGGAACUAUGAGUAGAAUAAGACUAUGUCUUGAUAUAAUGAAUCCAUGCAUUGGAAACAGUAUUGAAGUAGCAAAUUGUUACAACAACUUACCAUGUUUAGGGCUACAGUUAGGUUGGUCAGAAUGGAGUUUUUGGUCUCUUUGUGAUGUCUCUUGUGGUAAUGGAACUAUGAGUAGAGUAAGACUAUGUCUUGAUGUAAUGAAUCCAUGUAUGGGAAACAGUAUUGAAGUAGCAAGUUGUUACAACAACAUAACAUGUUUAGCUCAAUGUGACCUGCUCUCACAAAUUGAAAAGUGUGUUAUUGUUCCCAUAAAUAUUCUUCAGAAUGCAACUUUUGAUAUAGUUUUCAUGCUGCAGAAUAUGGACUUUAAAUGUAUUGAUACAUCUGCACUAAACAUCAACAACAACAUUGAUACAUCAGUUCUGUCUUUACAAUUAGAAUUAGACUUUGGUGAUGAUACUUCAAAAGUGGGUUUCAAGAAUUGCGUAAACAGUUCAAAUGAGUAUACAUUUAGUCAUAGCUUUAAAGAUUGUGGAAAUUAUACUAUAAAAUACAUAAUCAAAUCUUGUAAUGCAAUGGGAUCAUUUAUUAAUGUUGAGAUAAUCAAUUAUGUGAAAGUAACUGUAUUUUGUUUAAUGUCCCCAAUUAAAAUGGUAACAGAUCUAAUUUCAGACUUAAAUCAAAAUUUUGUUCUGCCUCUGAAUAAAGAAUUGAGUUUGUUGAUAAGUCAAGAUUUAGGUUCUUAUAUCAAAUAUGCAAUAGAUUGGGGAGAUAGUGUAGUUCAGUUGAUUGAUCAAUCACAAAAUAAAAAUCCUUUACCAUUUGUUCUCUCGCAUACAUAUAAAAAUGCUGGAAAUUACACAGCAGUUUUGGAGGCCAACAAUACAUUGCAAGUAACUAAUAUUAAAAUUUUUGUUAAAAUACUAAAUUGUUCUUUUCCAAAAGUUACCUUUCAAUAUGGUAGCAAAGAUAAUCCUUUAAGAAUCGUCAAUACUAAUAAAGAUUUUGUAGCAAAUGUAGAUGAAAGUGACAAUGCUUGUUUACCAUCAAAUAUAAGUGUUAUUUGGAUAUUAACUGGAGAUAAUAUAACAAGUAAAUCUCAAGGAACUUUAUCAAACAAUAGAAUAGUAUACUCUUUAGGAAGCAACUUGGAUUUUGGAACUUAUAUCUUGUCAUUAUUGUUUACUUACAAUAUGCUUACCACCAUACAUGUUUCUUAUUUUAUGAUUGUUAAUUUACCCAUACUUAUUGAGAUAGAUAAUGGUGCAUUUCGUACUGUGGCUUACAAGCAAAAACAAAGUGUUAACAAUUUUUUUCCAAAUUUUACAAUUAGCGCACUUGUAAGCUCUGGUGGCAGCCUUCCUACAAUAGAACAUCAAAGAUUAGUAUAUAAAUGGAAAUGCCGAGUGAAAAACACAUCACUAACUUUAAAUAAAUUAAAUUCACAAAAGGCCAUUAAUUCAACUUUUGAAAACAGUACUUGUUUUAAUGAAUCAUGGAUGGACAUAACUGUUGAUGGACCAGAGCUUGUAUUUAGUACAAAAAUGUUUAUAGAGGAAGUAACAUACCAGUUUCAAGUUAUUGGUACAAAUCUUGUUGGAAAAUAUUUACAAAGUAGUUCUUUUAUUCAAGAAAUUGUAUUUAGAUCAGGUGACUUACCUAAUGGACAGAUCAACUGUAUUACAAACUGUGCUGCAAAGUUAAACACAAAAGAAAAAACUGUUUUUAUGUUUUCAAGUUUAAAGAUAAUUGGGAUAUCUUUUACUUGGGAAGUCUUAAAUGAUUAUGAUGAAUGGCCUAAAGAAUUACAACACAAAAAUUCAACUGCAACUGGGUUUUCAGGUUCCUAUCUUGUGAUCAAUCCUGAUACUUUGUUGAUUUCUAAAAAUUACUAUUUUGUAUUAACAGUUGGAUACGUUGGAUCAUCUAACAAAGCUUCAUUUAAAAUAAAAAAACAAACAUCAUCAGUACCUAUUCCAGGAUCUUGUUUUGUAAGCCCUCAAAUCGGAUAUGCUGUUAUCACAAGGUUUAAACUCAUUUGCCAAGAUUGGACUGAUAAUGAGAAUAGUAUAUUGAGAUAUGAAUUCUUUUAUGACAGUGGUGUUGCAGAAAAAUACAUAAUGACAGGAAAUGGUGAUAUAAGUUAUCCACUGUUGAAUGCCAAAUCGCCAAAUGAUCCAUUGUUAGUUGAUUUUGUAUUAGGGCCUGGUAACUUAAAUAAAAAUUUUUCUGCUAGAAUAUAUGUCAGAGUUGUUGGAAUCUAUAAAGCUUACACACAGUAUCCUGACAUUUUUAUUCAGGUUUUACCAUUCCCAAAUAAUGUUUUAAAUGUAAUUGCUAAUGCUGGCAUACCUGAUACAACCACGUUUUCUAGUUUUCUUCAUGCUGUAUCAAAUGUUUUAAAUCACAAUUCAAAUGCUGUAAAAAUGUUGAGCCCAAAAACCAUUGAUAAUAUAACAGGUUUUACUGAUGUUAAUAAUGAAAUUGUACUCAAAAAGGAAGAUAUGCUGGUCCAACAGCAGAGUGUUCGCACUAAAGUUGUUCACUUGCUUUCAAAGACACCAUUAAGUAGUUUAACUGACAUAAAGAAUGUUGGUGAUGCCUUAGCAAUUGUUUUAACUGUGCCAGAAGAGUUGACUUCACAGACCAAGACCAAUGCUGUAGAUAUUAUUACAAAUAUGUCUUCUUUGCUGACAGAAAAAAAUAUUAAAGAUGUUGGCCCACAUUUAUAUGAUCAAAUUACUCAACCUUUUGUUGCUUCCAUAUCACACUUGUUCAGUGGUUUAGCUAAUUCUGAUGGUAUUGUGGAGCCAGUUGAAAGCUUAAACUCAACAUUUGCACCUGGUUACAUAUCUAAGCAGGAAAAUAAUAACUCCCAAUUAGUUUUGAAACUUAUUCAAUCUAUGGACAAAUAUUUUGAUGGUUUGCAGUACCACAUUGCCAAUGAUGAAGAUCCCACAAUCGGUGAUACGCCUGCAUUCAAAUUUUUUUUGAAAAAGGUUUAUGGAAUUUACUCAGGAAAUAUUUCAACUGGUUCAUCAGAAGAAAAUAAUGAUGAGCAUAGUGGAUUUUCUAUUUUUAAUCUGACAAGCUUUUUAAAUGAAUCGACUAAGUAUUCCAGUGUUGUCAUUAAGAAUCUUAAUAUUAGGAGUCAACCGUUUACUUGGGAUUCAGAACGUUCUAAAAAUAUAGUAUCAGAAUCUCAAAUUUUGUACUUGAGUGCAACGACUGGGCAGAAAAUUGAAGUUAAAAACUUGUCUUCAACUGUAAAUAUUUCAAUAAAAAAUAUUCCACAAAAAAUGAAUGGUCGUAACAUAUCACUUUCUAUGCCAUAUGAUGUACAAACAAGCUUGCUUGAGCUUCCAUCUUCUGAAUGCAGCUUGAUGAUGAAAUUUUCACCAUUAAAUGAUCCACAAAACAAGACUAACCUAAUUGUUUACAUUCAAUAUGGCAAAGUUCCAACAAAUGAUGAUUAUGAUAUUAAAUUAAACAUUUCAACUAGAGAUGGUACUGAUCUUAUUAUUGGGAACAAUACACCACGUUCAAAUUUUUCUAUAAAUAUCCAACGAAGUCAAAAAUGUAGACUGUUAAAAGAUGGAUCAAUUAUAUUGUGGGAUUUUCAUAACUCAACAUAUUCUUUUUUAAACAAAACAUUUCUUCAUUUAUCUUAUUUUUAUGUUGGUCCAAUGCCAGAGAAAAUUUUGGAAUUUAAUCCAUAUACAUUGGAUGGAAAAGAAUACUAUGGAACAUAUCUUUAUGAAAUGAAAUCUUUUUGUCUUGAAUGUAACUAUUGGAACGAAAACGCUAACAAAUGGAUGUCAGAUGGAUGUGAGCUUGAUGUUUUUACUACAAGUUUUCUUUUGACAAAAUGCAAAUGCAACCAUCUGACUGCAUUUGGUGGAUUUUUUGUUGCUCCUAAUGCUCUUCCUAAACCCAGCUUAGCUUUGUUAAAAACAGGAUAUGUUUUGCUUGUGACAGUUACUGUAGUUAUUUUACUGUGGAUAGUCGGAUUGGUAUGGAGCAGAAGAAUGGAUGAAUCUGAUGCUUCUAAGAUUGGUGUUUGCCCACUUCUUGACAAUCAUCCAAGAGAUCAUUACUUAUACCAAAUAAAAGUAGAUACUGGCAACCGAAGAAAUUCUGGCACCAAAUCUAAUAUCUUUUUUACUGUCACUGGUGACAUAAGUGAUAGUGGAAUUCGACGUUUAAAAGAUUCCGUGAGAGAAUGUUUUCAAAGAUCUAGCUGUGAUAUUUUUAUAAUGACAACUCAGAGUUCACUUGGUGAUUUAAGUUAUAUCAGGCUAUGGCAUGAUAAUAGUGGUGGGGGUUGGUAUUUAAACACCAUUGUAAUCACUGAUCUCCAAACUGAAAAACAGUUUCUUUUUAUUGGUCAUCGUUGGAUUGCUGUAGAUCAAGGAAUGUGUACUUUAGAUUGUAUUAUUCCAGUAGCAUCUGCUGAAGAAUCUAAAAGUUUUACAUUUGUUUAUACCUCAAAAGUAGAACGCAAUUUAACUGAUGAACAUUUGUGGUUUUCAAUUUUUACUCGUCCACCAAGAAGUAACUUUACCCGGUGUCAAAGGUUGACUGUUGCAGUUUCUUUGCUACUGACUUCAAUGAUGGUAAGCACAAUGUUUUAUGGAAAGGAAGGUGAAAACCCAAACCCAGCUACUGAGAAUAAAAGUGUUUUUUCCUUCACAAAGACUCAGAUAUUUGUGGUGUUGAUUUCUACUGUCAUUAAGUUUCCUGUACACUUGUUGUUUUUGAAGUUUUUUCGUUCAAUAAGACCAUUAGAAAUUACUUCCAAUAGUUUUAUUGAUGACUCAUCUGUUAAUGAAAGCAGCUCCGAACAGCUUAGCUCAGAGUUUAUUCCCUUAUCUAAACGCAAAAGUAUUCACUUAAGCAAGACUACAUUAACUAUUAUCAUUACUGAAGACAAACCAUUAAAGAAAAAAAAGUUUCUUUUACCACAUUGGUGUUUGUAUGUAGCAUGGUUUCUUUGUGUCGGUAAUAUAUUUGUUUGCGUUGUUAUAAUUGUGUUGUAUGGAAUGAAAUUUGGAAAUGCAACAUCAUUAAAUUGGCUGGCCAGCAUAACUAUUGAUUUUACUAAAGAAAUUCUGUUAAUUGAACCGAUUAAAAUAUUUAUUCUGGCAAUAUUUGUUGCUGUUGUCGUUAAAGAAGUUAACGAAGAGGAAACUGAAUUUGAAAAUAGAGUUACUCAACAAAUGAAAAUGUUGCCUGUUAUCAAAAUCGCAACAUAGAAGAACUUUUUAAUCUGAAACUUAGAGGGGUUCCAAUGGAAAUAGAUAAUUUUAAAGUUUAUGAUAGGAUUCAAUCAACACAGGAUUUCUGGCCGUGGAUGGAGGAAUAUUUUAUACAACAAGUUUUUCCUGAACCUUGGUUUAACUUGAGUGAGUUCUAUGCAAAUUCAGAUAAAAAAGAUUUUCCUGGUAAACUUUUUUUAAAUGAUCUCAACUCAAAGAUUGUAAAUGGAAUAAGAAUUC
rnacentral:misc_RNA from 1 species